rnacentral:lncRNA from 1 species
UCUAGAAGUUUGCACUAGGAGAGUGAGAAAAAGGGAGAGAAAAUGUGAUGUUUACCUGGAGAGAAAUAAGUUUCAAUUUUCUAUUGUUUUUGUCAAUACUCAGAAAGUAUGUACGGACCUUUUUACUACAUGAUUGUCCUAUGAAUCAGAAUGGAUGUAACUCAGCCGCUGGGGACAAGAGACUUUAGCCGCUGCUGCUUGCUGCUCACUAUGGGGUCCUAGCCCCUGUGGCCAGCAUGCUUUUAACCCUUAAAUGACUUGACCUAAAUGCCGAACACAGACUAGCUUAAGAUCUGAUGGUAACACUGGUGUCUGCCACUAAAAAACCUUCAGCAGCAACCACGUGCCACAGAAAGAAGUGUAGGAUGCGGGAGUACACAGGCUGCAACCGCAGGUCGCAGAGACAAAGCAAGCUGCUACCGCAGCAGGAUCUUGGCCAGGCGGGGGAAAAUGCAGACAAAAAUCAAGCAAAAUGCAAUCAGCUAGGAAAACUUGGGGAACUUUUGCCCGGACAAUGGGCAGCGGACUCCACGUUGUUUGCGUCACCAUGGUAACCACUUGGUACCUGGCCAGAAGAGCAAGCUUCCUGGUCCCACCUCCCAAACUUUUGUGGGCUUCCGAUUGGUUCUUCCACAGUCACUCAGACAGGACGUCUAGUCCCGCCUUCCAGCCACUAACCUGUACUACUGUGUUUCAGAUUUCUACCAGAGCUGUUCAGAGCCUGUAUUUUUAAGAAUGUCCACCUGUAAAUGCUAAUGAAAGAUAUCUUUUUCAGACAAAAUUUAAUUCCACAGGUUUCUAUGUUGCAGCCCUAAAUUUAAGUUAGCUCUGAGUUAAAUAACUGACCUUUCUUAUAGUUGUGUUACUAAAUAAUUUUCUAUUAAUAAGAAAUAUCAAACAUGCUUGUUUGUAUUUAACUUUAAUUUUGGAGGUUAUGGGGAUGCAUUUGCUUGCCACAGGAACAAAAGCCGACAAUGUUCCUGUGAUGACCAAAAAAUCCUUAUUCUCAUUUCUGACCAUAAGAAGUAAAUAUGUAUGCACAAGGAUCUUAUUUCAGUUACAUCAAGUGACGUCACAUAAAAGAGUGCACUCCUAAGUAAAAAAUAAAUUAAAAUGGAUCCAAAUAUUUUAAGAACCACGUAGUUACAUAAAGUUAAUACAAUUAUAAGUAAUGUCCUUAUUCUUAAUAUAUAUUUUUCUAGAUAUUUAGAUAACCUAUAUUUGUUAAUUG